rnacentral:rRNA from 1 species
UGGGGAAUCUUAGACAAUGGGGGCAACCCUGAUCUAGCCAUGCCGCGUGAGUGAUGAAGGCCUUAGGGUUGUAAAGCUCUUUCAGCUGGGAAGAUAAUGACGGUACCAGCAGAAGAAGCCCCGGCUAACUCCGUGCCAGCAGCCGCGGUAAUACGGAGGGGGCUAGCGUUGUUCGGAAUUACUGGGCGUAAAGCGCACGUAGGCGGACCGGAAAGUUGGGGGUGAAAUCCCGGGGCUCAA